AUGACUAUACAUGCCUGUUGUGUGAUAAUCCUCCCGAGGAAACCCUGGCAAUUCUCUGGGGUAACUUGGCCAAACUCUGAAUGUAGACUUGAGAUGUUGCACAUGGGAAAACAAACUUGGCACAAACCCUUGUUCAUGGAAACUUUCAUUGUUGCCGUAUCGGGAUCUGUAUGGAGAGAAAUGACAAGUCCUUCAGAGGAAUGCCCAUGCAAGCAUUAUCCAACAAAUAACAAGUCUGCUUAUUCAUGCAUGCACACCCUCAGAAGACCACAAUCGGCCAAAGAAAUCUUCUUUGCUCAAAUUAUGUAUGCUUAUCUAUAUGAGGUAUCUCUGCCUAUGUUGCUUGCUUUUUAA
rnacentral:rRNA from 1 species